rnacentral:rRNA from 1 species
GGAAUAUUGGACAAUGGGCGAAAGCCUGAUCCAGCAAUGCCGCGUGUGUGAAGAAGGCCUUCGGGUUGUAAAGCACUUUAAGUUGGGAAGAAAAAACUCGCUCUAACACAGUGAGUCUUGACGGUACCGACAGAAUAAGCACCGGCUAACUCUGUGCCAGCAGCCGCGGUAAUACAGAGGGUGCAAGCGUUAAUCGGAUUUACUGGGCGUAAAGCGUGCGUAGGCGGUUUGCUAAGUCGGUUGUGAAAGCCCUGGGCUUAACCUGGGAAUUGCAGUCGAUACUGGCAGGCUAGAGAACGGUAGAGGGAGGCGGAACUCCAGGUGUAGCGGUGAAAUGCGUAGAUAUCUGGAAGAACACCGAUGGCGAAGGCAACCUCCUGGGCCUGUUCUGACGCUGAGGCACGAAAGCGUGGGUAGCAAACA